ensembl:rRNA 5S_rRNA 5S ribosomal RNA
GCGCCCGAUCUCGUCUGAUCUCGGAAGC